rnacentral:rRNA from 1 species
CCUACGGGAGGCUGCAGUGGGGAAUAUUGGACAAUGGGGGCAACCCUGAUCCAGCCAUGCCGCGUGUGUGAAGAAGGCCCUCGGGUUGUAAAGCACUUUCAGUGAGGAAGAACGCCUGGUGGUUAAUACCCAUCAGGAAAGACAUCACUCACAGAAGAAGCACCGGCUAACUCCGUGCCAGCAGCCGCGGUAAUACGGAGGGUGCGAGCGUUAAUCGGAAUUACUGGGCGUAAAGCGCGCGUAGGUGGCUUGAUAAGCCGGUUGUGAAAGCCCCGGGCUCAACCUGGGAACGGCAUCCGGAACUGUCAAGCUAGAGUGCAGGAGAGGAAGGUAGAAUUCCGGGUGUAGCGGUGAAAUGCGUAGAGAUCGGGAGGAAUACCAGUGGCGAAGGCGGCCUUCUGGACUGACACUGACACUGAGGUGCGAAAGCGUGGGUAGCAAACAGGAUUAGAUACCCCAGUAGUC